rnacentral:piRNA from 1 species
UUUCUCGAUAGACAUAUUCUUGGACCU